UACGGGGGGAGCAAGCGUUGUCCGGAUUGACUGGGCGUAAAGCGCACGCAGGCGGUCGCGCGCGUGGGGUGUGAAAUCUGGCCGCUUAACGGCCAGGCGCCAUCCCAUACGGCGCGACUGGAGUGAUGCAGAGGUCGAUGGAAUUGCCGGUGUAGUGGUGAAAUGCGUAGAGAUCGGGCAGGAACACCCAGGGGGAAACCAGUCGACUGGGCAUCUACUGACGCUGAGGUGCGAGAGCGUGGGGAGCGAACCGG
rnacentral:rRNA from 1 species